rnacentral:lncRNA from 1 species
ACUCUGGGAGGCUGUGCCUGGGCGUGCAGUCCUUCCAAGAACUGGGUCACAUUUCUAGCCAUUGCAAAAAUCUUCCACUAUUUUCAAUUCUUAGUUCUGCCAACCAUGCAAAAGAAGAGACAUUCCAAACAAAGUAUCCAACAGACAGUAUGCAACAGCAUCAUAUCUGUUUGUCCUCAUGAGGAACAAGGAAAGAUAAGGAAGAUGCAGGUAAGCAGUUAUCACAUUCUGCUGGAAGGGACCAUACUACCAAAAAAUAGAUCUAGAGAACAUGACCAUAACAUGCCUUUUGCUGGAUGGACAUGUUACUUAGAAGUUGAAUUAUUGUUCUUUGACAGUUUUUGCUUUGAUAGGCAUUCCUGGACUCAUUGCAUGAUGUCUAGAAUUUCAGCUCCCACUUCUGAAAUAUGGUAUAUUAUCAGAACAACCUCAAGGAUAAUCAUUCUACUUUACUAAAGAAUUUGAGAUUUCAAAAUCUGACUUAAUUUCAAAUUGGGC